ensembl:lncRNA
GGUUUCAUGUUUAAUUAUCUUUGCAGUGUGGCAGCUAGUGCACAUGUUACAGUAUGGUUUUGCUGUCCUGUGAUUUACUGUGGUAAGUGGAAAUCUAGGGCUUAAAGUGCUUGGGCAAUUUGUAUCUCUCACACGUACUGAGGAGUUGAAAGUGUCACAAUCUGCGGUGUUUUAGUGUAGAGAUUUGUACUCUCUGAUGUUAAACAUAACCUAGAAUGCACCUGUGCUCUACAACACAGCCAAUCAGAGCGACAGAGUACACCAAAUCAGCUUUUAACAUUCAUAAACACACACACACACACACACUACAUCACCUGUGGUUAUAGAGGGAACUUCAACUUUGCCUUGAUUGUUUUUUGAAAGUAACAUUAAAGUAAAAACAGAAACAAGUGUUUAAACAGUUUCUAGACUGGAUAGUGUUUUAUUUUUAUAAUUUAUACUAUUUUCUAUUUUAUUUAAUUUGUGUUUUAUUUUGAGCUGGACUGCUACUAAUCAUUGUAUACUCAUGUUGAGUGGAAGAACAGCUCAUUCUAAUGAACAUCUUGUUUUUGCAUUCAACCAAAGAAAGAAAGUUAUGUGGGUUUGUAACCGCGUGUGUAAAAUGAAGACAGUUUUGUCUUUCUGCUGAGCUUGAAAUAAAGGCCGUGUUUAUUUACCGCUGUUUUGCUGCAGAGGAAGGAAAGUUGUCUGAGUCACGGCGUGCUGAGCAACAGUCACGGCUCACUUGUGUAAAACAGGAUUUGUAGAGUGUGUCUCAUGGCUGCUGUCCUAAUUAUGAAAUGUGUGUUUACCACAAAACAACAACAUUUACAUCUUCUUCUUGACUUAUCUGGGUCACGCUCCCAGAUUUACUCACUCACGCAUUCUCCUCAACAGGAUGAAAAGAAGAAAAAGAAGAAAAUGAAAAUCAGCGAGACUGCAGAGCCGGGCAUUCUCACAGAAACAGGUCUGGAGGGAAACACUGAAUUAACUCCUGCAGGAGAAACUAAAGGAGACGAAGAGAAGAAAAAGAAGAAAGACAAAGAUGCAGCUGCAAUCAGUUCAGACAGUGAGAAUGAAAAGAAGAAGAAGAAGAAGAAAAAGAAGAAGAAAAAUAAAAUGAAGCAGAAGAAGGAUAAGAAAAAGAAGAAGAAGAAGAAAAAGAAGAUGAAGAAGAAGGAUUCCAGCUCAUCUUCCUCCUCUGACAGUGAGGAUGAUCACAAGAAGAAAAAGAAGAAAAAGAAGCCGAAGAAGAAGAAGAAGAAGAAGAAGAAGAAGGAAUCAAGCAGUUCUUCCUCCGACAGCUCCAGUGAUGAUGAGAAGAAGAAGAGAAAAAAGAAGAAAGACAAAAAGAAGAAAAAGGAAAAGAAGGAUUCAGGAGGUGACUCCGCAUCGGCUGCAGAGAAAGACGAGAAGGAGCUUGAGCUCAAACAGGAGGAUGGAAAGCUCACAGAAGACGCAUCUUCAUCUGGUGAACGCUUUGCACUUCCUGCGGAGUCUGCAGGUAUGACCGCUGUCAGGGACGACGGUCACAUGUCUGAUGAUGAGGGCGAGGGAGCAGACGACAAGCAGAAAGACAAAAAGAAGAAAGUAAAGAAAAAGAAGAAGAAGGAAUGCAGUUCGUCCUCUUCAUCGGACAGUUCUUCAGACAGUGAGGAUGACAAGAAGAAGAAAAAGAAGAAAACCAAGAAAAAGAAAAAGAAGAAAGAUAAGGACUCCAGCUCCUCUUCAUCAUCCGACAGCAGCUCCUCAUCCUCCUCAGACAGCGAUGAUGACAAGAAGAAAAAGAAAAAGAAGAAGAAGAAGAAGAAGAAGAAAGUAAAGGAUUCUUCUUCAUCUUCGUCAUCAAGUAGCUCCUCACAGUCUUCUGACAGCGAUGAUGAGAAGAAGAAGAAGAAAAAGAAGAAGAAGAAGAAGCAUAAGAAAAAGGAGUCCAGCUCCUCUUCAUCAUCCGACAGCAGCUCCUCAUCCUCCUCUUCAGACAGCGAUGAUGACAAGAAGAAGAAGAAGAAGAAGAAGAAAAGUGAAAAAGACAAGAAGGACAAGAAAAAGAAGAAAGACAAGAAGAAAAAGAAGAAGAAAGACAAGAAGAGUAAAAAGGUGGUUAAUCAUCAGUUAAGACUGGUUUAAACCUGCAGUACUGGUUUAACACCUGGUUAACCUGCAGUGCUGGUGGUUAGUGAAAAAGAUGCAAAGAAAAUGUUGCAACUCACUUUAUAAAGUCAAUAAUUCAAAAAUAAGCGAUUUUACCACCAUUGUUAUAGUAUAAUUAAGAUGCUUUUAUAGUUUUUAUUAAUGUUGAAUUUAGUUUUUAUUUUGGUAUUUUCAUUUUAAAUAGUUAAAAAAAAAUUGCAAUUUAGUUUUUUCGUCAUUUUUAUUAGUUUAUUCAUUUUUUAGAUUAUUAGUUUUGUAAUAUUUUAUUUUACUUUAUUUCAUUGUAGAUUUGAUUUCAAGUAACAAAAUAAUUUUUAUGGUUUUUGUAUGUAUGAUAUAUAAUACAGAAUAUGUAAUUUAUAUAUGCUGCAUUGUUGUCGGACAGCACUGUCAAUGUCAUAUAUCUGAUGUAGUUUAAUUUGUCUUCUGUCUGAUUGUGUCUUGUUGCUUUUGUUUUAAUCCCAGGACUCAGGAAAGUCUUCAGGAUCAGAAAACCAUGACGACAAGCAU